rfam:Stereum hirsutum FP-91666 SS1 unplaced genomic scaffold STEHIscaffold_2, whole genome shotgun sequence.
GGCCGGCUGGCCUAAUGGUUAAGGCGCUAGUUUCCGGAGCUAGAGAUUCCCAGUUCGAAUCUGGGGUUGGUCG